CUCCACCUUUCCCACUGGGACAGUGGAAAUUUUACUCUGUUUAGACAGCACCAUUCUAGCCACUCCCAUUCAUAACUUGGUUCACUAAAAUGUACACUCACCCACUCUCAUACAAAUGGCUUGUUGUAUGUUUUGUUUUUUUCACACUUGUAGGCAAUGAGAGACUUUUUUUUACUUCCAAUAAAAACAUGGUUAAAAACAAGACAUUAAUUGGUCUGUAAAGGUGGAUGAGUUUCACAAGAAGAGUCACAUUAAUACCAGCAGCCGGAGAUGCCAAGGACGCCACACCUCGCUCAAGAGGAACUGUACCACAGAUUUCUCCACUUCAUUCUGGUCUGACUAAAUAAUGAAUAAAUCUUCUGUGGCAGUGGGGGCGUGGUCAAGCGCCGGUCUGUGACAGGAGGGCGGAGUCAGGGAAGGAGAAAGGCUUUGUGCUGGAUUUUAUUUUGCUUGGAGAAGCAGCUUUGGGAACAAAAAGUCGGCAGUUCGAUUCCCUGGACCAGCAGGAAUGGCUGAAGUGUCCGUCUUGCAAGGCACCUAACCACCAGCUGCUCUCCAGGCUGCUCUGGGUAUGUUGUAUGUUGCUCUGGAUAAUGCCAUUGCUAAAUCCCAUUAAUGCAAUGUAAUAUGCUCAGUUUCAUCAGUGUUUCCACAUAUGGGAUUUAGAAUGAGUAACUCUCACUAUAGUUACAGCAUCAAGGUUUCGCAACACUAUGAAGUGCAUAACAUUUAAACAUACUGUACCUACUGCACACACAGCACCCAAAUUGAUCUGUUGAAUCUUAAGCAGCAAGAAACAUUAUACUUAUAAUAACAAAGUGCUGAAACUGUGUCUGAUGGCAGAUUUCACACAAGCAACAUAGAAAUUCAGUAUUUUGGGAUAACAUUACAUCUGUGACGAUAUUUCUGGCCCUCAUUCCAACAAUGAGACCUGCUCUUUACAACCAAAACUAAUGUGAAAUAGACCUGUAUGGAGCAAGACUGGGCAAGAAAGAUGUUCAGGUUUAACACUCAAGUCAUGCAUGUCUUUUUCACUCAUUCCAUCUUUCCAGUUUGAACUGAUUAUCACAUAAUAUUCACUGCUAUAGUUGCAGUAUGAAAUUCUUUGUCUGUGAAGAUUCUCAUCUAGGUCAUAGUAAACUGUGGGUGGUAAAAAGAGCAACUGGACUUGCCUGAAGCUUCUUGAAGACGUUUCACCUCUCAUCCAAAAGGCUGCUUCAGUUCUGUUUGACUAAUAGGGAGUAUCAGGUAUUUAUCCUCUCAUGGAUGAAAAGUAAUCCUAAGGUGUCAUUGAGUCAUCCUGUUGGUGUGGGUCACUGGGGGCUGGGUGUGAAUGGCCUAGAGAGUCGUUGGGGUGAUCAGUGGAUUGUUGGUUCUCUCUGUCCUCCUGUGAGUCACUGAAAACAGCUGGGUUUUGGUGUGCAUUCAGUUGUCUGGGAAGUGUGCCAAGGACUGCAUUGUAGGUGGCUGAUAAAUGAUGUCUUAGACCACCACCUCUGUUCAGUGAUGGUCGUUCCAGGUUGACAAAAAUGGCUUCUUUAACUCCUUGCUCAUACCAACGCUCCUCUCUGGCUAAAAUGCGUAUGUUGCAAUCCCGAAAUGAGUGUCCUUUGUUGUUAAGAUGAAGAUAGACAGCAGAGUCCUGGCCUGAGGAACUGGAUCUCCUGUGCUGAGUCAUGUGCCUGUGAAGUGGUUGUUUUGUUUCCCCAAUAUACGGGUCCGUGCAUUCCUCACUGCACUGAAUUGCAUACACUACAUUGUCCUGUUUGUCUGGCUAUUCUGUCCUUAGGGUGGACCAGUUUCUGCUUCAGGGUGUUACUGGGUCUGAAAUGUACUGGAAUGUUAUGUUUGUAGAAGAACCUCCUGAGUUUCUCAGAUAGACCAGAAAUGUAUGGAAUGACAAUGUUCUUGCAUUUGUUCCUGUUAUCCUCCUUGUCCGUUAUGUUCCUUUUUCUGCUCUUGAAAAAACCCAGUUGGGAUACCCACAGUUCUGAAGUGCUUUCUUGAUGUGAUUCUGCUCCUUCUCUUUUCCCUCUACCAUUGUAGGAAUGUUCUGAGCCCUGUGUUGCAAGGUCCUAAUGACCCCCAAUUUGUGUUCCAGUGGGUGGUGCGAGUCGAAGAGUAGGUACUGGUCUGUGUGUGGGUUUCUGGUAGACCUCGAUGCUAAGGCUUCUGUCUUGUCUAAUGUGUAUAUCACAAUCCAAGAAGGCUAGAUUAUUCCCACUGACAUCCUCCAGAGUGAAAUUGAUGUUGACAUCCACUGCAUUGAUGUGCUUGGAGAAGGCUUCCACCUCAUGGGUUUUGAUUAUAACCCAGGUGUCAUCCACAUAUCUGAACCAAUGGCUGGGAGCAACUCCUGAAAAAGUGGCCAAAGCUUUAUGUUCCGCUUUCUUUCUUACUUGAGCCCAUGGGCGUCCUCACCAUUGAACAGAGGUGGAAAAACACAGGUGCAGAAAGUAAAAACCCUGCCACAUUUUUGCUCCAGCCAAUUCAGUGAACCAGCUGAUCCUAAUUACCACAUCCCCUAAGCCAAGUUGAUGAGCUAAUUGGUGAAAUCACCUGUGUUGAGAGCACAGGCAGAAGGAAAACCUAAGCAGGACUUUUACUUUGUCAAUCCAGUUUUUCCACCUCUGCCAUUGAAUGUGGAUGUGUCCCCUUCACAUUUCAUAAUUCUUCAUUUGCCCCCCACACACACACACACUUAACAUAAAAUAUUAGUUCACCCAGCGCCGUUUCUAUUGCUUCGUGAAAGAACCCAUUCCACUCGAUCGAUAAGAGAAUCCACAGAUCACUGAAAAUCCACUCUGGGUUUUCUGGGCGUUACCUACAACAACUCACCACCCACAAGUGAAGUGAAUCUCAGUGCAAGCAGAGAAAUUUUGGUGCAAGGUGCAGCUGCUCAAAAGUGGAGGAGGUAACGUCAGCCCCCUUGCCACCUCACAAUGUCUAGCUUUUGCUAAAACCUUAUUCUUUUGUUAUAUGCCCUCAAUUAACCCUAGGCCAUGUUAAAUUAAUGUUCAACUAAACAAUGAAAUAAGCUUAGCCUAAUGGGGUAUUCUUGGUUGAUGAUGAAUUGUUUGCAGUAUUUGCUCCCUCCCCAGACACAAUGGACAUAAGGAAAUUCUUUACAAAGAAGCGGAAAGUAAGUCAAAAUUUCCCAACAGGACAGGGUUCUUUUGUCCCAAUGGAAAUGUUAGUGCAGUUAGCUGGCUAGUCAAUGUUAGGAGAUGUAUCAGCUAGCUUAAUGUUAGCUAUAAUUUAAUUCAAACCCAGUAGGUCUACCUUACUGUAAUGCCAAGAAUGAGGUCAAGUCUGCUCUGAUGAUAUUUAUUGAUUCCCUGUUGUGAUUUGAAGAACUUGUUUUGUCUGGUCUUUGCCGGUUUUCUGGAAAGUAACAUGGGAAAUCAGUGUAUGGGGAAGGAAUAGUAGAAAGGAAAGCGAUGGAGAGAGAUGGAUGUUAUUCCAGGUGGAUUGUGAAGGAAAGGGGGAUAAAAGUUAUAAAGUGGUAGAAAUUAUGGUGGCACCAAUGUAAGAAGGAGUUAUAUCUAUAAAUCUAUUUGUUAUACUAAUCUGUAAAUGUUACUGUAGUACCACCAUUGCAUGUAGGUUGACAAAACUGCACUUGUUCAUUGUGUGAAGUUGUCUUUUAUGUGUCAUUGCUUGACAGUGUAAUUUUGUGUUAUGAAGACUGCAUGAUGCCAUGCCAUUUUUGUUAUGAGUAUCGCUAAAUCGGAAAAAAGUAAAAUGCACCCACUAAAGUCACUAUUUGUUGGUGGUUAACAAAAUUGCACCUGUUCAUUGUGUGAAGUUAUUUUUUUGUGUCACCGUUGCUUGACACAGUGUGAUUUUGUGUUAUGAAGUUUGCAUGAUGCCAUGUCAUGCCUGUUCACUGUGUGAAAUUAUGAAUAUUCUUAUUUUUAAACAUACAGUUGAGUGUCACUAUUGCUUGGCACAGUGGCAUGUUGUGUUACAUCUAAAAUUAAAUAAAAAAGGAAACACAAAAUAAAAAGUAAAAUGCACCCAUAAAGCCAUUGUUGGUGAUAAAUUGUGUCACAUUCAUCUCAUUAUCUUCGGCAGAGCAGUGGGUUUAAAAACAGGCUGAUGAAUAUAUGGACUAGUUGAAUGAGGACUUAUUGUUGAGUCUCUAAAAUAGUCAUUGAAUUAAGUGACUUUUGUAGG